rnacentral:rRNA from 1 species
CCGAAUUCGUCGACAACAGAGUUUGAUCCUGGCUCAGGACGAACGCUGGCGGCGUGCCUAAUACAUGCAAGUCGAGCGGACAGAUGGGAGCUUGCUCCCUGAAGUCAGCGGCGGACGGGUGAGUAACACGUGGGCAACCUGCCUGUAAGACUGGGAUAACUUCGGGAAACCGGAGCUAAUACCGGAUAACACCGAGGACCUCAUGGUCCUUGGUUGAAAGAUGGCUUCGGCUAUCACUUACAGAUGGGCCCGCGGCGCAUUAGCUAGUUGGUGAGGUAACGGCUCACCAAGGCGACGAUGCGUAGCCGACCUGAGAGGGUGAUCGGCCACACUGGGACUGAGACACGGCCCAGACUCCUACGGGAGGCAGCAGUAGGGAAUCUUCCGCAAUGGACGAAAGUCUGACGGAGCAACGCCGCGUGAGCGAUGAAGGCCUUCGGGUCGUAAAGCUCUGUUGUUAGGGAAGAACAAGUACCGUUCGAAUAGGGCGGUACCUUGACGGUACCUAACCAGAAAGCCACGGCUAACUACGUGCCAGCAGCCGCGGUAAUACGUAGGUGGCAAGCGUUGUCCGGAAUUAUUGGGCGUAAAGCGCGCGCAGGCGGUUCCUUAAGUCUGAUGUGAAAGCCCACGGCUCAACCGUGGA